rnacentral:SRP_RNA from 1 species
GCCGGGCAUGGUGGCACUUGCCUGUAGUCUCAGCUAUUUGGGUGGCUGUGGCUGGAGGAUCACUUGCACCCAGGAGUUCUGGAUGGUAGUGUGCUAUGCUGAUCGGGUGUCCGCACUAAGUUCGGCAUCAAUAUGGUGACCUCCUGGGAGCAGGGGACCACCAGGUUGCCUAAGGAGGGGUGAACCAGCCCACGUCAGAAAUGGAGCAUGUCAAACUCCCGUGCUGAUUAGUAAUGGGAUCGUGCCUGUGAAUAGCCACUGCACUCUAGCCUGGGCAACAUAGAAAGACCCAGUAAAAA